rnacentral:rRNA from 1 species
UACGUAGGGUGCAAGCGUUGUCCGGAAUUAUUGGGCGUAAAGAGCUCGUAGGCGGUCUGUCGCGUCUGCUGUGAAAACUCGGGGCUUAACCCCGGGCCUGCAGUGGGUACGGGCAGACUAGAGUGCGGUAGGGGAGAUUGGAAUUCCUGGUGUAGCGGUGGAAUGCGCAGAUAUCAGGAGGAACACCGAUGGCGAAGGCAGAUCUCUGGGCCGUAACUGACGCUGAGGAGCGAAAGCGUGGGGAGCGAACAGG